UCAGAAGGUGGAGCUGUGUGCUUUCACAGAAGACAGGCCUCAUUUCUGACUUUUCCUCUUGCUGUUAUUUUCUUUAACCAUCAUGUUCUUCUGUGCAUUUCUGAUUCUUUCAGUAUUAACAGGUGACUCUUUUGAAAAUGUGAUAAGAUCUUAUGGGUCUGUUAUCCCUGCCAGAGAUGGUGAGACUGUUACUCUCUCCUACAACUACAGUGUUUCUCCAUAUGGCUUGUUUUGGUAUCAUCAAUAUUCCAGAUCCAAACCAGAAUUCCUCCUCUCCACCACUGAAUCUGGAGAUCCUGUUGAAGCUGAUUCAUCAGCUUGGUUAUGUGUGCUUGGUGCUGACCGAAUUGGACCAGAUGAUCAGGACACUGAAGUUUUUAGGAAAAAGGGACAAUCAGUUACACAGAAAUGCUCUUAUGUAACAAGCAGUGAAAAUAUCUUUCUCUACUGGUGCAGACAGUAUCCUAACAGAGCUCUACAGUAUUUACUGCAGAGAGGAGCUUGACGGGAGAGUUAUAGUCAUACCUCAGACAGCAGAUUUUCAUCAUCUACAUCCAGUUCAUCCACUGAGUUCAGUUACAGACUAAUUAUGGCAGAUACAGCUCUCUACUACUGUGUUCUUAGAGAUGGAGCCCAGUGACAGAAAGUCUCUGACACGCUUUACAGAAACUUAAAACACCUUCUAUUUGCUUUGAACACAAUCAGAUUGAAGUAACAUCCAAAACACUAUGUAUUAUCUGCUAUUACACUCUCUCUGAGCACAAAGUGAAGUAUGGUUGUAAGACAUCCCACUAUUCUUCAGAUUAAAAUGCAUGUAGUUUGCACUCCAAUCUUAUCAAUAAUAAAUCACGCAAUAAUAAUGCAAACUCUAACAUGACUAGAGUGACAUACAAUUAAAGCUUUAUUUAAUCACAAGAAU